rfam:Gaeumannomyces graminis var. tritici R3-111a-1 unplaced genomic scaffold supercont2.1, whole genome shotgun sequence.
ACGUACGACCACACGUUGUGGAAAACUCGGGAUCCCGUCCGCUCUCCCCUAGAUAAGCCACUGACGGCCGGAGUAGUAGUUUGGUGGGUGACCACAAGCGAAUGCCUGGUGUUGUACGUU